rnacentral:rRNA from 1 species
AGCAGCCGCCGCGGGAACACGAAGGGUGCAAGCGUUAAUCGGAAUUACUGGGCGUAAAGCGUGCGUAGGCGGUGAGUUAAGUCUGCUGUGAAAUCCCCGGGCUCAACCUGGGAAUGGCAGUGGAUACUGGCUCGCUAGAGUGUGUCAGAGGAUGGUGGAAUUCCCGGUGUAGCGGUGAAAUGCGUAGAGAUCGGGAGGAACAUCAGUGGCGAAGGCGGCCAUCUGGGACAACACUGGCGCUGAGGCACGAAAGCGUGGGGAGCAAACAGGAUUAGAUACCCCGGUAGUCCCUGUCUCUUAUAC